UAUUCAUGGGAAUGUUUUAUUCCAAUCUAAUUUAUUUAAGAAGUGUGUGUAUAAAUUUUAGUAAAAUGUAUAUAUUACUUACCUUAAUAUCUCCUUCAGCUGAUCCUGUAGCGAAGAAUUCUUCAUGCGGAUCAAGAGCAAUACAUUUUAUAGUAGCAUCAUGCGCCUAUAAAAAAAUUUAUUAAUUAUUAUGUGUGUUUUUAUAAUAUGCAAAACUACGUGAUGAAAAAUUAUCUCGUUUCUUUUAGCCGUUUCCUUAUACAGUCCAAAAAUGAAAGAAAUCGGAUAAUAACCACGCCCACCUCCCAUACAAAGGUUAGGUUGAAAAUGACUAAAAGUGCGUUAACUCACUAACGAGAAACGUCAGAAACACCAAAUUUUACAUAAGAAAUGCAGAAGGAAGCUGCACCGAGAUUGUUUUACAAAAUGGAAAAUGGGCGUGGCGUCGCCCACUUAUGGGUGAAAAACCAUAUCUCAAGAACUACUACUAAAACGACAAUGAAAUUCGGUAUAUAAUAUUUUCUUGACACCCUGAUGACACUGGUGGAAUAUGGGCGAAAUCGGUUCACAACUACGUCUACUUCCCAUAUAACUCAAUUUUGAAUCAUUCUGAUUCGUUCACUUUAUAAUGUAUACAUAAGGAACCGAUAAAGAUAACGAAAUAAAACUUUACACAAAUACUGUAUUUGAGCUGUGACAUCACUUGUGGAAAAAUUGUCAAAAUCGAACCAUGACUUUUCAAGGCCCCUGAUAUCAAACUUGAAGAACUCAGUGCCUAAGGGUAAUUUUUCACCGAAAAUAUAGUUGGUAUCAAUGCGAAUUGAAGGAAUUUUUGCUCAUGUCAGAAAAUAUGGGAUAUCAGAAGAAAUCUCGUACACAUAUGUACAUAUUCGUUUGGAAAUUGCACGAAAAGGACUUUCAUUGGAAUUUCUAAGAAUUCAAAAAGUUAAGGAAUUGAAGGACACUUUACCACAACCAUUAUCACCGGCGGGGCACGAGCUCAUAUACCGAGGAUUCCGAUGAUCCUAAGAGAUCUUUCAAUCCUAUUUAAACGGCUUCAAUUUCAAAAACUAAAUUUAAAAUAAGAAUACAAGAAUAAGAAAAAUAUUUCAUUUUCGAGUUUUCUUUUACCCUUUUUUAAUGACCACAUGCAAAAGGCAAAAAGUAUUUAUGGGAGAGUAUAUGCUUAAAAAAGUAUAACUUUUGAAGUUUGUUUAAUACCCGUGCGAAGCCGGGGCGGUCUGUUAGUUUGUGGAAUUUUGAAAUAAAACUAAACUGAAGAAGAGUAAUAUAAAAUUAUUCAUCGCACAUAUAAUAUUUAGCUAUUUCUAGUUAGCUAUUAUUAAAGCUAAUUUUCAAAUCAGUACAGAAUUGACUUUUUGCAUAGUAAUUAUCAUCGUAUGAAUGUGGUAUAUGUUUUUACUUCUAUAAAAGUGUAAUUUUCAUGCAUGAUUUCACAUAAAUGGGAAGACUUACCUGGAA